rnacentral:rRNA from 1 species
GACGAACGCUGGCGGCGUGCUUAACACAUGCAAGUCGAACGGAAAGGCCCUGCUUUUGUGGGGUGCUCGAGUGGCGAACGGGUGAGUAACACGUGAGUAACCUGCCCUUGACUUUGGGAUAACUUCAGGAAACUGGGGCUAAUACCGGAUAGGAGCUCCUGCUGCAUGGUGGGGGUUGGAAAGUUUCGGCGGUUGGGGAUGGACUCGCGGCUUAUCAGCUUGUUGGUGGGGUAGUGGCUUACCAAGGCUUUGACGGGUAGCCGGCCUGAGAGGGUGACCGGCCACAUUGGGACUGAGAUACGGCCAAGACUCCUACGGGAGGCAGCAGUGGGGAAUAUUGCACAAGGGGCGGAAGCCUGAUGCAGAAACGCCGCGUGCGGGAUGACGGCCUUCGGGUUGUAAACCGCUUUCGCCUGUGACGAAGCGUGAGGGAAGGUAAGGGGGAAAGAAGCACCGGCUAACUACG